ensembl:lncRNA
UUUGACUUAGAAGGUGAGUGGUAAAACAAUAUAGAGUCAGUGUUUCACGAGUGUAUUUACACACUGCUGUAUUCAAAACGGAUAACCAACAAGGACGGUAUAGUACAGAACAUGGAACUCUGCUGAAUGUUAUGUGGCAGCCUGGUUGGAGGUGGGUGUUGGGGAGAAUGGAUACAUGUAUGUGUGUGGCUGAGUUCUUUUGCUGUUCACCUAAAACUAUCACAGCGUUGUUAAUUGAUUAUUUGUUGUUGUUCGGUCACUAAGUCCUGUCUGACUCUUUGCGACCCCACAGACUGCAGCAUGUCAGGCCUCCCUGUCCCUCACUAUCUGCUGGAUUUUGCCCACGUUCAUAUCCACGAGUCAGUGAUGCUAUCCAACCAUCUCAUCCUCUGAUACCCCAAAACAAAAUAAAAUGUUCAAAAGGAAAAAAUAAGUUUAAAAAAGACCUAGGACAUUAAAUCAAAAGUAAACCCAACUGAAAAUUGGUAGUUUUAAAAUUUUAUACCCAUAUAAUUUGUGGAAUAAUUGUUGAUGCAUAUGAUUAGCCAAAAAUUGAAAAACAAAUGCAAAGAUCAAAUUCCUACCUCCACUCCCUAAUCCCAAAGAAGGGAGUUGAAAAACUAACUUACACAUUUUACUGGGUUGACUUACUUAAAGCACAGCUACCCUAAAUGGUUAUAAAUUUCUACAUAUAUAGGUGUUAGCAGAUAUUUUUAUAUGGGCAAAUCCUGAAUAGGAGGGAAAAGUAAUUUCAACUUUGGGCAUACCACUAGCAAAUUUAAGAAUAGGAGUUUUCUUUUCAGCUUUUCCUAAAAAUAACACCAUGACCUUUCAUUUCAGGUAGCAGAAUGAAGUGACUGCUAGAGCCUGACUUCCUCCUAUGAAAAAGGGUUCCAAGAUCAUCAGAUUGGAGAAACUGACCCAUUGGAACUCAAAACAUACUUGCCCACCAGGCUCCUCAGGCCAUGGGAUUUUCCAGGCAAGGACACUGGAAUGGGUUGCCAUUUCCUCUUCCAGGAACCCUAGAGUGCUGGAAAGAGCUACAUGAACAUACGACUGAGAUUGUUUUGCAAGACUUGGUGACCUACAGCUGGUCCACAGCUAAUUGCUGGAGCCUCACUGGAGAUGUAAAUACUGUAGUUUCGGGACACACACCUGAAGAGCACAAACCUCUAUGUAAUGGGUCAGAGAGCAGCAGUUCAUUUCUUGAUGCCUUUUUCACAUAUGCACCAUCUGUAUACUGAAUGACAUGCAUGGAAAAUGUGUUUAACGGUGGAGAAACAGAAAUGCGUAGUGGUUUUUGAGCUCUUAGUUUUGUGUCAUGAAAAUGAAUUUCAAUCCUGUCUGUCCCAUUUGUUAGCUGCAUCUGUUUUUCUAUCAGUACAAUGCAUGUAACGCUCUUGGGACAGUUAUUGUGUGAGUUAAAUAAAUGGAUGUGUGUAAAAACACUUGGCGUGGUGCCUAGAACAGAGUAAGACAUCAAACAAUAGCUGCUGUUAUUCUGUAGGAUAUAGUGUUCUGCUACCUGACUCUUCUGAAAAGGAAACUAAUACCCAAAUUUGUCUCAUGUGAGUUUUAGUCUCGUGGGAUCAACUAUGAAGGCUGCUAGCAGAGCUCAAUGGGAGAAAACCCAGUGUCUGACCUGUGGCUACAGAGGGGUUGUGUCUUUGGUUCCUUUUAGUCUGGCCAACCUGGUCCUUUACCAGCAUGAAGCUGCUUCCUCCCAAGGUUUUCACUUGCAAAAACAAGAAGACCCUGGAGCCCAACAACUAGUUACUUAUUUUUAAAUGUUUUGAAAUAAAAAUAAUAGCGUGAGGCUUUUGCUUCAGCUCUCUUUCUGAAAUGACUCUUGACAGGAACUGGAAAUGGUUCCUGUCAAUGUAGUCUCUCUCGCUCAUGACCAAACGGGAUGUAGGAGAUUGGGUGGAAUUUUCUGAGUUCUUUGUAUACCUAGGAAUGACAUGUCUGUCAUUUAGUUAAAAUAAGUUAUUGGUUUUUAAAUCAAAUUAAAAUAUUGAGUCAACAAGCAGGUACUGUACUUGAAUUCUCUCUUAUUUGUAAGAACCGUUUUUCACUAUUUCAUGAGUAGUGGGGGAAAACAAGGGGUUAUAAAUAACAAAAACAUGUUUUGGGCUUCAUGAAACCCAUAGAGGCAAUUAUAGGACAGUCUGGAAAAAAGUUGAAAUGACCAUUAUUUCUCAGGAAAAAAAAAUCUUUCUUGCCUUAUCAAAUAAGCAAGCUGACAAUAUUCUUUGAAAACAAUUUUAGAAUAUUUACUUCCUUCUUUCACUGGAGGCCUGUGCUGAACUCAGAUCAUUUCUUCUUGAGUCCUGUACUUUCUCUCCUUCCUGUGAAUAAGAGUGGUAAUUGUCUUCAGCAUCACUUCAGGGCUUAGACUUGAAAAAAGUCUUAAGAGCAAGACAGGUGAUUGGUUUUGCUCGAGGGAUCUAGAGAAAGCUGGACACACAUUCAAUGGAAUAGUAGACUAAUUACAGAUAGCUGUAGCAGAUCAAGUGUUGACUUCUUCCGGUGAUUAAGAGAUAGCACAAUUUCGGGUUACUGUGUUGUUGCUUCAGGACUUGCCAUGUUUAAAUAUCCAUGGCCUGGGAGUAAAUGGGCAAUGAUCAGUCUAGUCUCUUGUUUAAAUUACCUCCAAAGCUCUAUUUGUUUCAGAAAUAUCAGAAAUAAUCCAGAAACUCCCCAGAUUCUUAGUCUGAGAAUCUGAAUUUCCUUGCUCUGCUUCUUGUCCAGUUCCUAUGAUUCUAUAUCUCUCUUCUAACCUUGGGCUUCGCAUGCUAAACUCAUAACAAAUAACUGUCUCUGAACUCUCUCAGAAAUGUGCCUCUCUGCCUUUGAAUUUCAUAUGCCUUUUGUCUUGAAUGGCCUCACUCCCUUUGUUUCCUAAAAUAACUGAUAAAUUAUCAUUUAAAACAUGCUUCUGGUGGUUGUUGCUCUAGUCGCUAAGUCGUGUCUGACUCUUGCGACCCCAUGGACAGAGGAGCCUGGCAGGCUACAGUCCAUGGGAUUCUCCAGGCAAGAAUACUGGAGUGGGUUGCCAUUUCCUUCUCUGAGUUCCAGGAAUCAAACUCAGGUCUCCUGCAUCGUAGGCAGAUUCUUUACCAACUGAGCUACAAGAGAAGCCUCUUAAAACAUGCUGCUCAGCCCCAAAUCUGGGUUAUGUGUACUUUCUAUGUUAUUUCAAAAUUUCCUUUAUUUAUCUCAAUCAUUAUAUUUAUUACAUUAUAAUCUACUGCUUCAUUAUUUGCAUCUACCUCCAAACCAAUCACUUUGAUUUAACUGGUGUUAGGUGGGUUCCAGAUCGGGAAAGGAGUAUGUCAAGGCUGUAUAUUGUCACCCUGCUUAUUUA